rnacentral:lncRNA from 1 species
AUCCUCUUGGUUUCCUAAGUCUUAUGACUAGCCAAUGCCUGAAAUAAUGAACUCCUCCAAGGCAAGAAAUCUGUUUUGAAGCUUCUCUGCGUUCACACACAGCAGCCUGGUUUCCUGGAAGGGCAUUUUCCACAUUGUGCGUUAUGGAUGAUCAUCCCAGGCAUCAGGUGUGAAGCCCUGCAUCCACAUCCAGGGGCUAUCAAAUCUCUCUGCAAAAGGAGAAGCUGGACUCAGGCACGUUUACAGUGAUGUGUAUGCAGAGAGAAGGACACAUUCUUGGAUUGAACCCCAAAGGAUGUUGAACUUAACAAGGAUGUCAGAACUAACCCCACCAUAUUCUGGGACCACUUGCUUGCUAAGAACUAAAAGUCACUUAAACCAGUUAAAUAAAAGAGAGUUGAUUUUAAAGA